UACGGAGGGAGCUAGCGUUGUUCGGAAUUACUGGGCGUAAAGCGCGCGUAGGCGGCUUUGUAAGUUAGAGGUGAAAGCCCGGGGCUCAACCCCGGAAUUGCCUUUAAGACUGCAUCGCUUGAAUCCGGGAGAGGUGAGUGGAAUUCCGAGUGUAGAGGUGAAAUUCGUAGAUAUUCGGAAGAACACCAGUGGCGAAGGCGGCUCACUGGACCGGUAUUGACGCUGAGGUGCGAAAGCUAGGGGAGCAAACGGG
rnacentral:rRNA from 1 species